rnacentral:rRNA from 1 species
AAUAAACGCUGGCGGCGUGCUUAACACAUGCAAGUCGAGCGAGAAAGCUCCUUCGGGAGUGAGUACAGCGGCGGACGGGUGAGUAAUACACAAGAAUCUACCCUUCAGUGAAGAAUACCCUCAAGAAAUUGAGGCUAAUGCUGCAUAUGUCCCUUCGGGGAGAAAGACGGCCUCUUUGCUGUCGCUGAUGGAUGAGCUUGUGCGCUAUUAGCUUGUUGGUGAGGUAAAGGCUCACCAAGGCAAUGAUGGCUAGCCGGCCUGAGAGGGUGUACGGCCACACUGGAACUUAGACACGGUCCAG